rnacentral:rRNA from 1 species
GGUGGUUUGUCGCGUUGUUCGUGAAAACUCACAGCUCAACUGUGGGCGUGCGGGCGAUACGGGCAGACUGGAGUACUGCAGGGGAGACUGGAAUUCCUGGUGUAGCGGUGGAAUGCGCAGAUAUCAGGAGGAACACCGGUGGCGAAGGCGGGUCACUGGGCAGUAACUGACGCUGAGGAGCGAAAGCGUGGGGAGCGAACAGGAUUAGAUACCCUGGUAGUCCACGCCGUAAACGGUGGGUACUAGGUGUGGGUUUCCUUCCUUGGGAUCCGUGCCGUAGCUAACGCAUUAAGUACCCCGCCUGGGGAGUACGGCCGCAAGGCUAAAACUCAAAGAAAUUGACGGGGGCCCGCACAAGCGGCGGAGCAUGUGGAUUAAUUCGAUGCAACGCGAAGAACCUUACCUGGGUUUGACRUGCACARGACGUGCCUAGAGAUGAGUGUAUUCCCUUGUGGCCUGUGUGCAGGUGGUG